AUUGAACGCUGGCGGCAUGCCUUACACAUGCAAGUCGAACGGCAGCACGGGUGCUUGCACCUGGUGGCGAGUGGCGAACGGGUGAGUAAUACAUCGGAACGUACCUUAUCGUGGGGGAUAACGCAGCGAAAGCUGUGCUAAUACCGCAUACGCCCUGAGGGGGAAAGCGGGGGAUCGCAAGGCCUCGCGCGAUUAGAGCGGCCGAUGCCUGAUUUGCUUGUUGGUGGGGUAAAAGCCCACCAAGGCGACGAUCAGUAGCUGGUCUGAGAGGACGAUCAGCAACACUGGGACUGGGAGGCGGCCCAGACUCCUACGGGAGGCAGCAGUGGGGAAUUUUGGACAAUGGGGGCAACCCUGUUCCAGCAAUGCCGCGUGAGUGAAGAAGGCCUUCGGGUUGUAAAGCUCUUUUGUCAGGGAAGAAACACCGGCUCUAACACAGUCCGGGAAUGACGGUACCUGAAGAAUAAGCACCGGCUAACUACGUGCCAGCAGCCGCCGUAA
rnacentral:rRNA from 1 species